UACGUAGGGUGCGAGCGUUGUCCGGAAUUACUGGGCGUAAAGAGCUCGUAGGUGGUUUGUCGCGUUGUCCGUGAAAACUCACAACUCAAUUGUGGGCGUGCGGGCGAUACGGGCAGACUGGAGUACUGCAGGGGAGACUGGAAUUCCUGGUGUAGCGGUGGAAUGCGCAGAUAUCAGGAGGAACACCUGCGGCGAAGGCGGAUCUCUGGGCCGAUACUGACGCUGAGGAGCGAAAGCGUGGGGAGCGAACAGG
rnacentral:rRNA from 1 species